rnacentral:rRNA from 1 species
CGUAGGUGGCAAGCGUUGUCCGGAAUUAUUGGGCGUAAAGCGCGCGCAGGCGGCCUUUAAGUCUGAUGUGAAAGCCCCGGCUCAACCUGGGAGGCCAUUGGAAACUGGAAGGCUUGAGUACAGAAGAGAAGAGUGGAAUUCCACGUGUAGCGGUGAAAUGCGUAGAGAUGUGGAGGAACACCAGUGGCGAAGGCGACUCUUUGGUCUGUAACUGACGCUGAGGCGCGAAAGCGUGGGAGCAAACAGGAUU